CCUACGGGAGACAGCAGUGAGGAAUAUUGGACAAUGGACGCAAGUCUGAACCAGCCAUGCCGCGUGCAGGAAGACGGCUCUAUGAGUUGUAAACUGCUUUUGUACGAGGGUAAACGCAGAUACGUGUAUCUGUCUGAAAGUAUCGUACGAAUAAGGAUCGGCUAACUCCGUGCCAGCAGCCGCGGUAAUACGGAGGAUUCAAGCGUUAUCCGGAUUUAUUGGGUUUAAAGGGUGCGUAGGCGGUCGGAUAAGUUAGAGGUGAAAGCCCGGGGCUCAACUUCGGAAUUGCAUUUGAUACUGUUCGGCUAGAGAGUAGUUGCGGUAGGCGGAAUGUAUGGUGUAGCGGUGAAAUGCUUAGAGAUCAUACAGAACACCGAUUGCGAAGGCAGCUUACCAAGCUACUUCUGACGUUGAGGCACGAAAGCGUGGGGAGCAAACAGGAUUAGAUACCCUUGUAGUC
rnacentral:rRNA from 1 species